rnacentral:rRNA from 1 species
GAACGCACCUUGCGCCUUUUGGCUAUUCCAAAGGGCAUGCCUGUUUGAGUAUCAUGAACAUCUCAACCCUCAUGGUUUGCCAUGUGGGCUUGGAUUUUGGAGGUUUUGCUGGCUUGUGGCCAGCUCCUCUCAAACAAAUUAGCUUACCGGUGUAUGGUGGCUUCACGGGUGUGAUAAAUAUCUGCGCCUGUGGUCGUCUGCCAGGAGCUUCAACCUUGGAGGUUUUGCUGGGGCUUAUAAAUGUCUCUCCUCAGUGAAGACAGCUUUCUGAACGUUUGAUCUCAAAUCAGGUAGGACUACCCGCUGAACUUAA